rnacentral:lncRNA from 1 species
ACCUCAGCUCCAUCAGCUAGAUGAGUCACGUUCUCCCAGCCGCAGUUCCUCUUCUGAGAAAUCGACAUAAUGAGAGUACUGACCUCAUCAGGCUGUUGUGAAAAUAAAAUAAUGACUGAAUCACAUUUCACACAGCGCUUUCCGUUUAGUAAGUGCUCAAAUAGUAUUGGGCAUCCUUCUUAUUUGUGUUAUUUGAUGCUGAGUGUGAGCACUUUCUCUGUGUCAGGGUAAGCCAAUGAUCUGAGUAGGGCUUGAUAAUGCCAUUGGAGAGUCUGACAAGAUCAAAGUGUAAAUGGGAGAGAAGAGGAAAAGAAGGAAAGAAAUGAGAGCCACAUAUCUACUGGCAAAAGGAAAAGUGCAAAAUUUCCAAGGGCAGGCUGCUGAAGGCCUGCCAGAGCGGGAUGGAAGGCAAAGGUUGUUGAAGUUAUGAAUGUCUGUUUCACAGAACUAAAUAUGAACAGCUUUAUUAAGGAGAUGGCUCAUCCCAGGAUAAAGACAGCAACAGAUGAUAUAGAGAAGAUUACACCAAACAAAUCUGCUGUAAACUGCAUUUACCCUUAGGAGAUGAUAAACUAAAGAUGAAGGGAAGGGAUAAUGAAUGAAUGUUAAGAGCUAAAAACUAUAAAACUCUUAGAAGAAAAUAUAGCAGUAAAUCAACAAAACCUUGGAUUAGGCAACAGUUUCUCAGAUAUCUCAUCAAAAGCACAAGCGACAAAAUUAAAAAAUAGAUAAAUUGGACUUCAUCAAAGUAAAACUUUUGCGUUCCAAAGAAUACCAUCAAGAAAGUAAAAAGACAACCCACAGAAUGGAAGAAAAUAUUUGCAAAUCAUAUAUCUUAAGAGAAUUGUAGCCAGAAUAUAAAAACUCUCACAACUCAACAAUAAAAAAACAAAUAACUCAAUUUUGAAAGUGGACAAAGGGAUAGACCUACAAAUGUUCAAUAAACACAUGAAAAGAUACUCAGUAUCAUUAGCCAUCAGGGAAAUGCCAGUCAAAACCACAAUAGAUACCAUUUUAUGCCCACUAGAAUGGCUAUAAGAUAGAUAAUACUAAAUUUUGUCAAAGAUUUGGAGAAAUCAAACCCUUACACAUUGUUGAUGAGAAUGUAAAAUGGUACACAAUUUUUGGAAAACAAUCUGGCAGUUCUUCAGAGUUAAAACAAAAAGUUACCUUGUGACCUAGCAAUCCCAUUCGAAGAGAGUUAAAAACAUAUUUUCCAACAAAAGCUUGUACAUGAAUGUUUAUAGCAACAUUAUUCAUUAUGGCCAAAAAGUGGAAACAGCCCAAAUAAAUGUUCCUCAGCUGAUGAGUGGGUAAAUAAACGUGGUAUGAACUUAUAAAAAAAAAAAAAGAGAGAGAGAGAAAACAGUAAGCUAGCUGGGUGCAGUGGCUCAUCCCCGCAAUCCCAGAGCUCUGGAAUCCCAGAUGGGAAAAUCGGUUAAGCACAGGAGUUUGAAGCUUCAGUGAGCUGUGAUGGCACCGCUGCACUCCAGCCUGGAUGACAGGGACUCUGUCUCAAAAAAAAAGAAAAGAAAAAAGAAAGAAAGAAAGAGAGAGAGAAAGAAAGAAAGAGAAGGAAGGAAGGAAGGAAGGAAGGGCCAGGCGCGGUGGCUCACGCCUGUAAUCCCAGCACUUUGGGAGGCCGAGGCGGGCAGAUCACGAGUUCAGGAGAUCGAGACCAUCCUGGCUAACACGGUGAAACCCCCUCUCUACUAAAAAUACAAAAAAUUAGCUGGGCGUAGUGGCGGGCAC